CGGCUGCUCAGUAACACGUAGUCAACUUACCCUAUGGACGAGGAUAAUCUCGGGAAACUGAGCAUAAUACUCGAUAGAUCAUAAUGCCUGGAAUGGUUUAUGGUUGAAAUGAUUCAUCGCCAUAGGAUGGGACUGCGGCCUAUCAGCUUGUUGGUGAGGUAAUGGCCCACCAAGGCGAUUACAGGUACGGGCUCUGAGAGGAGAAGCCCGGAGAUGGGUACUGAGACAAGGACCCAGGCCCUAUGGGGCGCAGCAGGCGAGAAAACUUUGCAAUGUGCGAAAGCACGACAAGGUUAAUCCGAGUGAUUUCUGCUAAAGAAAUCUUUUGCAAGUCAUAAAACCACUAGUGAAUAAGGGGUGGGCAAGUUCUGGUGUCAGCCGCCGCGGUAAAACCAGCACCUCAAGUGGUCAGGAGGAUUAUUGGGCCUAAAGCAUCCGUAGCCGGCUCUGUAAGUUUUCGGUUAAAUCCAUGUGCUCAACGCAUGGGCUGCCGAAAAUACUGCAUAGCUAGGGAGUGGGAGAGGUAGACGGUACUCGGUAGGAAGGGGUAAAAUCCUUUGAUCUAUCGAUGACCACCUGUGGCGAAGGCGGUCUACCAGAACACGUUCGACGGUGAGGGAUGAAAGCUGGGGGAGCAAACCGGAUUAGAUACCCGGGUAGUCCCAGCUGUAAACGAUGCAGACUCGAUGAUGCAUUGGCAUAUAGCCAGUGCAGUGUCGCAGGGAAGCCGUUAAGUCUGCCGCCUGGGAAGUACGUACGCAAGUAUGAAACUUAAAGGAAUUGGCGGGGGAGCAG
rnacentral:rRNA from 1 species